rnacentral:misc_RNA from 1 species
GCCCUGCACUUUGCUUUUUCUUUCUCUGCAACAGCCAGUGCUGCUUCCUCUGCUAGUCGUGCCUCUUCUAAUUUUUGUUCUUCUUCUACUUUCCAGCGGUGAAGCUCCAUUGCCUGCAUGAAAAAAAUUAGGCUACAUUCCAGUUCACAAGUGAAGAUAUUCUUGUAGUUGAUGUUGAAAUGCAUACCAUGUUGCUGGGUGAAGACCAUGAUCCAUUGCCACU